CAUCCAGAUAACCGCCUUUCAUGUCGUGACAUACGAGCGUUUUCGGCUUCUCAUUUCUCGGAAAUUUUUCCAGCGGUAGCUUGACGUUGUUGAUAUUUUUUCCCGAGUAAACAUAGUCGGUUGAUUUUCUCAAUUCUUGUAUCUUCGGCCAUUCGGGUAGAUUAUCUACGCCGUCGUAGAGUUCUUUCAACGUUUUAAACGGCUUGGAGGUUAGCGCCUCGUCGAUGUCCGCACCUUUUUCAACCGUCGACGACAUUGUUCUUCAAAAGUUUUUAAUAUAACUAAUCGGAACGGCUUCAUUUAUAUAGCGUACAGAUUAGACCGCGGACAGAUAUCAAUCAACCUUUCACGGUCAAAUGUAGCUCAAAUAAUACACAUAUCUCGGUACGCAAAUAAAUUAUCGUUGAAUUUUUCAGGAUCAACCGCAAAGGACAUCAAGCGCAGACGACGCAUGCAGACGACGCAUGCAGACGAUGGAAACAAACGAACGGCGCUUUUACUCGAGUUGCGGAUAAAUUCAGGCAAUGUCAUUCGGUCGUCGUUCGCUGAUGAAAAAUUGCAGAAAAUGGAGACGAUAUUUCCCGUAGAUUAUCACUCGCACUUUCGUGAAUUCGGGCGAAAGCUGGGCUUAGAAAAUUUCGUCCAUUCCUCGGGACAGGUCCAGACCUCCUCCCGAGGGAGGCUGUAACAGCGGAACGCAGUCCUGAGGGGAACACUCGACCCGACCCGAUGCUCCGCAACCGCAUUGCACGCAAUUUCCAGUCGAGUGCGGCAGCGCUUCGCCCUCCUUGUACUCGAUUCCUGCGCAAUUUUCAAAAUAAAUGCCCAGUCAACGACGGAGAUCAGAUUGGAAAAUGAGCAAAACUAAGGCGGAGGUCCGUCAACGGAGACGAGGCGGCGAAGGAGGAAAGGUUCGAAGAGGAGACGAUUCACUCACUUACCCAUAACGACGCACGUCGCGGGCGGCGUGCUCUGGACGACUAAAUCCUGGUAAGUUGAAUUAACGUCGAUGUAACCGUCUUCGUCGAGUAUCUGGAGGCCCUCCAACCCCUCGGUGGCCUGUAGCAGUGUGCCGUUAUCGUCAUUUCCGUAUGACGAAUUAUUCGCUGACGGAUACCCCAAGGAAGGCGACUCGCUGCUGCUGCUGCUGCUGCUGCUCCUCAAGUUUCCCUCAAAGUUAUCAAACUCCUCCGGCUCGGAGUGGAGAAGACAGUCCUGCCACCAGCAGUAAACUUCACCCGCCACGCAGAGGCAAUGGGAACAGGCGUCGCUCGU
rnacentral:misc_RNA from 1 species